CCCCACGUGCUCGGGACAACCGCGUGGUUCCAUGCCUGUCGCAAACCUCCAGAUCAGCGUCCGUCGUAGCCGCGAGCGUGGAGCCAUGGAGAAGGAUGACAGACUACAACACCAAGCUAUGGAGCUCAAGUCACGCGUCAGCACAGAUAAGUCCUGAUCAUCUCCCCAUUCUGCCCUCAACAACAUUGUCCUGCUCAUCUUCCCCUUUUGCCCUCAACAACGUUCCAGGCAAGAGGAGGUGCUCCACUGAUUAGAGGCGUUCGCGCGGAGGUUUGAUCUGCUCUGGCUGGCCCGAUUAGAUGGAGAUGCUCAUUGUACAACAUGUGAUCGCAUUAGGUUUUAGGGUUUGUGAUCCUGAGUCUGUGCGCUAGGGAGAUGCAAGGCCAUUUGUAGAGGAAGCUGUGCUGCAAGUAUCUGACUGGGGUUUCAACUUAUCUGACAUCCAAAUGCAGAAGAAAGAGGCUCAAAGAUUAUUUGAACUCAUCAAGUCUCUGUUCAAUCAGUCUAAAAGAGAGUGGGUGGGAUUUCUGGGCCCAAUCCAUAUAUGGCAGAAGAUGUUUUCGUUUAGGUUGCGAACACGCAUCUGCAGAGAUAAAAAAGGAGUGCCAUCAAUGACAGCCACAAAUUGGGGCAUGAAGUGGGACAUAACUCCUCCAACAAGGAUUAGGCAGGCUAUGGAGAUGCAGGCUGAAGUAGAAAGGAGAAAAUGCGCUCAAGUCCUUGAAUCAGAAGGGAAGAAACAAGCCCAAAUCCUUGAAUUAGAAGGGAAGAAAACUGCCCAGAUCUUUGAAUCUGAAGGUGACGACUUCAUAACCCUUUUUAUCUUUUAGCUCAAUCAGGAGGUUCACAGUGCCAGGUCUUCAUUUGAGCAAGCUCAUUUCAAUCUGUGCAAGGCACCUAAUCAGGACAAUCAACAUGAGGCAUCAUCUCAGAAGAUAGCUUAUAAUAAGCAUGGAAAAAGCAUGGAUUCUUAUGUUGAAGUAGUCGAGGUUGAGUGAGCUCUACGACAUAAAGCAAAAUUGGAAAGGCACCAACGCACAGCUGAGCGAGCGGCGAAAGCCCUUGCUGAAAAGAACAUGCGGGAUAUGCUGGUGCAGAGGGAGCAUGCUGAGAAACAUACUGGCUGAAUUUCUUGAUCCUGAAGUCAAGAGAUGGUCAAAUGGAAAAGAAGGAAAUCUGUGAGCAUUGCUGUCCACAUUGCAAUAUGAGGAGCAUAAGGUGAUCGAGGCGCAGAUCAGGAUGUGGCAGCAGGAGGACGAUGCAGAGAUGAUGAAGAACAAGCGAACUGCAACUUUGGGUGACGUAGUAGCAUCAGCACGAGUUGAUUCGUGGAAUACCCAUGGUGCAUCAAUAGUAUGUGUGUAGAACUAUGGAUUUUCCAUGUGUUCUUUUUUCCCAUGAAUUCUGUUGUUUGAUGUUGUUCAAUCGCUGACCCUGUUUGUUUUGUUGAUAGUUGCAAGCAGUUAUGGUAGUUAUGGCAGGAUCGCUGGUCACCAUCAUCUAAGAAAAUUAUAUGUGGUAUCUUCUAUGGGUUUGUAGGUGUAGGCAUGCUUUUAUGUUACCGCCAAUCUAAAUUUUUACCUACUUUUAAUUUUAUACUAAUUUUAUAGAGUUAAAAUACUUGAGAAGGUAUUGAAAUCUAACCUGCACCUCUUGAUAUGCCCUAGAUCUAACAUGCACCUCUUGUGAUAUAUAAAAACCUGACCUGUUUUGAGACCUCUUGCAGAUUUUUGUGUGUAGGGCCAAGAAUCGAUAUACAUGCUUGGAUUCAGGGAGUCAGUGCUACGCUGAAAGAACUUAAGGUCUGCAUUCAAUCCCGCAAAUCUAUAUCCCACCUAAUAUCUAAUUGGUGAACUUUAUUAUUUUUCCAAGAAACAAUGAACUUAAGUGAUGAUUCUCUGUAUUAAGGCCUUAGGACUUCUCGUUUUCUACUCUCUAUGUCUAGCCGUAUGGGUUCAGUGUGGGGCUGUUCGAAUGGGUGAUCAAGAGGUGAUUUGUGUGGUUUUGUCAGUUCCGAGCUUCUAUGCGUGACAUUUUGUAACUCAGAGUUUUCUUGCAGGGCUUGGAUGAUUAUCUCUACGGUAGGGGUGUGUACAUCAACACUUUUAGCUCUACUGGUCCCAUUGCUUUCAGAUCAAAUGAAGCUUUUCUGUUCUCGCCAUGGAGUAUUCCAUGUGCCUUGUCAGUUUUGAUGUUCUCGCCAUGGAGUAUUUCUAAAAAUAUUGUGUUCAUUUAGGGACUAGAUGACAGCCACACAAAGGGCGAUAAGGAAGAGGGACCCAGUUUGGAGGGCUUAGAGGGGUAGACAACUUUGGUGGCGCAUAAGUGACCAAGAACUACAUAAAGAAUGGGGACAAAUGGAAGAACUUUUGAAGGGCAUAAACCAUUUGAAUGAUGCUGAUCAUUUUGCUCUCAUGAAUGAACGGGUGUGACCCUAGCAACAGUGCGACUUUCUCGUACCGGUCUUCACAGAGCGCAUGCGCAACCUCGGCAUAGGGUAGUGGUGAAAUAGUAGUGGUGAUGGUAAUGAUGGUUGCAAUGUAGUGGUGAAAUAGUUAGAUUAAAAUAACAAAAUUUAUGUAAGAAUAGGAUCAUAAAUAGAUUACAAAAUCUUUUUACAUUACAAUAUAACACAUAUUUAUACACAAGUUAUCAUGAUUAUAUA